rnacentral:rRNA from 1 species
CCUACGGGGGGCUGCAGUGAGGAAUAUUGGUCAAUGGGCGAAAGCCUGAACCAGCCAUGCCGCGUGCAGGAAGACUGCUCUAUGAGUUGUAAACUGCUUUUGUACGGGGGUAAAAAGAGAUACGUGUGUCUUCUUGAAUGUACUUUACGAAUAAGGAUCGGCCAACUCCGUGCCAGCAGCCGCGGUAAUACGGAGGAUCCUAGCGUUAUCCGGAUUUAUUGGGUUUAAAGGGUGCGUAGGCGGUUUAGUAAGUCAGCGGUGAAAUUUUGGGGCUCAACCGCAAACGUGCAGUUGAUACUGGUGAGCUAGAGAGUAGUUGAGGUAGGCGGAAUGUAUGGUGUAGCGGUGAAAUGCUUAGAGAUCAUACAGAACACCGAUUGCGAAGGCAGCUUACCAAACUAUAACUGACGUUGAGGCACGAAAGCGUGGGGAGCAAACAGGAUUAGAUACCCCAGUAGUC